rnacentral:misc_RNA from 1 species
UUAUUUAUAGACUUGAAGUUGCUUAAGUGUUCACACAAAUUGCUUGAUGAUUUUAUUGUUUAGAGAGACUGAUAUUUGUUCUUUAACAAUGUGGUAAAAAGUAUAAGUAAAGAUUCCUUGAUUAAUUUAGGGUUAUUUUUAUUUUCGAUUGAGAUGUAUUUUUAUGUUUUGAUUGAUAAAUGGGAAUAAUUUUUAGUUUAUUUAAUUAACGAGUCUUGGUAAUUUUUGAAAACCGGUGUUGAGAUAUAGUUUUGAUUGGUUUUAGUUAAUAGAUUUUAGAUUUAUUGAUAUAAGACUUUUUGGGGUAUAUGAU